rnacentral:snRNA from 3 species
AUACCUUUCUCGGCCUUUGGUUAAGAUCAAGUGUAGUAUCUAUUCUUAUCAGUUUAAUAUCUGAUACGUGGAUCUUUGAAUCCACAAUGAUAUUAUGUGCAUCAACAUGUU